GUGAGAGAGCGCGCGUGCGGCAAAGCGAGCGGGAGGGAGGGAGAGAAAGAGAGCGAGGAGGGGUGCGCGCGCACCUCUCUCGUUAUUCUCCUCAGCUUUCUGAGUGCGGGACUCUUUUCUUUGCACUUCUUUCUCCUCCUCUUUCCUUCCUUUCCCUUCCCUUUUUUCUCCCCCCUUGUGAGCUGCCCAGGAGGGUGAAGCGUUGUGGCAGCUGCAGAGCAUGUCGUUCCGCCUUGGGAUGGGGGCGAGAGCAGAGGCAGGCUGGGUCUCUGCUGCACCUGCUUGUGGGCUCUUUGCUCUGCUCUGGGACGCCUCUUAUGGAUGCCUCCAUCAGUUGCCUGAAGCGUUAUCCAGAGUUUUAGGUGCUGCAAAACCAUGUAUAUGGAGCAGAAACAAAGAAGAGUCACUGUGUUCUUGACCAAAAAAGGAUUUAUUGCCACCAACGUCCACAAAAGUCUCAGAAAUGUGUGUGGUGAGGCAACGAUUGAUGAGAGUAAUAGGUGAAGAUGAGUGGAAAAAGUUUAAAUAAGGUGAAACCAAUGCUGAAGACGAACCAUAUAGUGUAAGUCCGAUCAACAGCAGUCACCAAUGAAAACCAAAACAGGGUGGACAACAUGAUUUGCACAGACCAUAUUCCUAUAGAUUUUCCCCCCUUUCACUGAAAAUGCAACAGAGUAAGAAAGGAUCCUACAGUUUUAAGAAGGAACUAUGAAUACAAGUGACAAGCGAGCUCCGUAUUCAUUUCAGAUUCGCUGCUAUGUGUGGUAAUCUUUUUUGUUUAAUUAUAGAUAAUUUUAUGAAAUUCUGUUCAAAACUAGCAUAAUUUAAUUGUCCAUUAGGAAAGUAAUAUCCCAAAAUCACUAAUAUCAUAGGCUUCCAAGGAUUUAAUUUCAGGUUUAUAUACAUGUAUAUACCCUUCUGGUAUACCAAAUAAUGCUACUGUGUUUGCCUGUAACAUUCACGUGGAUACAUGAAACUUCAAAUAACAAUAAACACUUAUUUUCAAGGGGACAAGUGAUGGAGGUUCUGAGAAGUGAAUAAAUGCAUAAGAGAAACAAAGAAUAAGUGAAGCUGCAUAUAACAAUUACACAAUUAAGGGGGUCAUAUUAUUUUACAAUUAAUAUAUCUCUGCAACACUGGUAAGAUUUCUGUCUCAUGAGCAUAUCUCUGGGCUUGGGAAACUCCAGCCUAUGUAUGUUUGAUACUGCCAGUAGUAGUGGGUGACUCCAAUGUGAGGGAGUCAGUGAAUCUAUUCCAGAUUUUAGUCUGAACUCCAUUGAAGUUUCAAUUUAAAAUCAGAAUCAAUUCAUUAACUGGCUGACAUUCGACAAACUAGAGCUAGUGCAAUAAAAUUUAAGACUGAGCAAUGUGAGGCAGAGGUAAAUUUCAAAAAGCAUAAUCUUUGGAGUUGAAUUAAACAUUACAAGUGGAUCCUGCUUUUACACAAUUGAAUACUGCUAUUCAGGAUUCCACUCACUCCAUUUCAUCAGCUCCACACCAAGCAAUAUUUGGCAACAUAAACCCGUAGCCAACAUUAUAUUGCUAGAUAUUGCCAGUAACAUAUAGUGCAUUUAGAAAUACAAAUUGAUUGAGGAAUGGGAAUAGUUGCAUGCAGUCACAUAGGCUGGAGUUUAGAUUGCAAAAUCAAACAUUCAAAAGUUAGGAUAUGCCUGGCUAUUUUAGUGUUGCACUGUGCUGGUAUUAAAUGGUUUAACAGUUUGUACAGAGCUAAUUUAAUGUAUUUUGAUAUUUUAAAUGUUUACUGUUUUAACUUAUGCUCCUUCUACACUGCCAAAUUACUCAGAUUAUCAAAACAAAUAAUCCACAUGAUUUUAGUCUACACUUCUAUAUAAUCCACUUCAAAUGCAGAUAAUCUGGAUGUUAUACGGCAGUGUAGAUGGUGCCUUAGAAACCAUCUUUUUAUAUCUUACAUUUACACUUUUAUUGAUUUUGUACUGCUUUUAACUUUUAUUGUUUUAAUAUGUUGUUGCUGCCUUAAAUCCCAAGGCAGGAUAUAAAUGGAUAAAAUAAUAAUCAUCAUUUGUUUAUAACCUACCUUUUAUUUGCAAAUCUUAAAGGAGGGUUCAAUCAGAGAAUCAUUUUAAAAUAAAUUGAACAAUGUCAAGAUUUUAAACAGUGAAGGCAAUUUAACUUCAACUACAUCAAAAGUCAAGUCAUGGUGUCACUAAGCUGCAUACACAUACACUCGGCACCAAAAUAAAGGUUGUAUCAGCCCAAAUCUGGCCUCCAAGGAAAGGCAUUCCACAACCAGGAUACUAGGAUCAGAAGGCUGUCCCCCAUGGCUGCAUGAAGUGUACUUUCCUAAGGAUAGAACACCAAAAAUCCCCUGUAGUAUUGAAUUUACUCUCAAUGGGUGGACAUAACAUAACUUAACAUUGCAUAUAAUACAACUGGUGAACGGAGGCACUGGAGCAAUUAUCAUUUAUAUAUGUGUAAAGAUGUUCCUGAUGAUUUGCUGAACUCAAUGCUGUAACAAUAAAGACUGAGGCAUAAACUGGCAAAAAAGAACAAAAUCAUAAAAUCUCAGAUCAUUUGCAGCGAGGUCAGUAUCUCUUUUAUAAGUACACUUGUUGGAAGAACCUUCUAACGAAGUGAGUAGGACUUAUUCUUUAAUUAUAUUUAGCUUCAGGCUACAAAAGACUUGGAAGCAAGUUUUUUUUAAAAGUGACUAAACUUCAUUUCAUUUAUCAACCAAUUGUAGCAGAGACUAAGUGUAAUAUAUUUUGUGAUUUCAGAAUUCCGUUAUUUCAUUAUUCUUUCUCAAGGUUUUCUCCCUCUUCUCUCACCCACUAUCUCACAUCCAGUUUAUUAGAAGGCUUACGGCUCCAUUUCUGUAAAUUCAACAUUUAAUAUUGCCAACUUUUGAACUGGCUGUGAGUAACCAUCCCUUUAACAACAAUUUGAUCUGGAGCAAUUAGCAGGCAAUAAACAUUUUGCUUUGUGCUAUGAAGAAUUUCACAUGGUGAUUUUUCUGCAGGGCAAACUCUAAACUGGCUUUUCUUGAUUAUUUAGCAAUACUAUCAGUAUCCAUUAUAAAGGGAGGGGAGUGGACAUUUAAAAACCAAGUCCACAACGCCUAGGCAUGGAAGAAUUGAGUAUGCAUACAAAAUGCAUCAAAUAUAAUUUCCAUUAUAAUGAAGAGAAGCGGGUGUAGUUGUUUGGACAUGUCCUCAAGUUGGAAGUAAUGAAAGCAAUACAAAAUCUAAAGAAAGACAUUUGUGGUCCAAACCUUAGUUUGUCUCUUGUUUUUGUUGGAUUUUUUUUGUUUCCUUCCAGCUAAGCUAUUAUUAACUUGUAUAGGGUGGAGUGGAAAGUGAAAGGACUUUAUAUUGUUUUGUAAACUUGGUGUUAUUUGGAACCAAGAACCAUCAAAAGAAUACAAGUGUAAAAUGACAACAAACCCGAAGGUCAUUAAAUCCUGCCCAGUGUUGCUUCAAGCACCAGUCUGCAUUAGAAAAAUCAGGUAAAAGUCAAUAUUCUGCACAGUGGGAAGCUUAUUUGACUUAACCCUCAAAAUAUUCAUCUUAUCCCACAAUUUGGGGAAGGUUUUAAAGAUUAUUCCUUUAUGUGAGACCUGGCGUAAUAUUAGGGUUAAAGUUGGAUUAUAAAUCAAGAGACUCAGAUUCAAAGCCCAACUUGGCCAUAAAUGUAAUGGAUUGAUCUUGACUUAAUCACUAUCUUUCAGUCUAACCUUGUCAUGAGGAAGACCAUGUAGUAGACCUUGAAGUCUUUGGAGGAAAGACAAUAAUAGUGAUGUAAUAACCAAAAUAAUUAGCAGUGACCCUAAUAAUACUCCUAACAUUUAAGAUGAACUAGCUAGAAUCAAGCAGAGUUGGCGAACGGACCAUGUCCUUUUAAUGGCAAUCCCUUAUUUUACCCUCUGAACCCCAUUUUUGUCUUUGUUCAUCAUGUAAUCUGAUGAAGACUUUUGGGAGACUCAAAGGCUUAUAAAUGAGAAAUGCAUUUCACAAGUAUAGAUUUCUAAGAUGUUUUUUACAGCCAACAUUUUUUCUUUUGCUUUUUGUAUAAAAUAAAUAAAAUUUAAGACUGUGGAAUAAAAUCAGUUAAUUCUGAACAAGAGAAUUUGUUAUAAAAACAGCAGGGAGCUCACUGUUUUUCCACACAAAAAUCCAUUCCUGAUUACCCAAACUUUUUAUUUCAUGAAAUAUAAAAUAAAUGAGGAUGAAAGCUUGGUGUUAUUUAUUUUAUUUAUUUUAUUUAUUUCCAGCAUUUAUAUCCCGCCCUUCUCACCCGGAGGGACUCAGGGCGGCUUACACAGUUGGCAACAAUUAGAUGCCGACAACAUAGUUAAAAUCAUAACAAUAUAUAAAAUCCAUUAAGAACAAUUAAAUACAAUAUAAAAUAUAAGACAUAUGGUUAAAUCCGUUCAUCCAAGAUCCUCAUGCUUUAUCCAUAAAUCAGUCCAUAAAUCAGUUAUGAGAAUGAGGUAUGUAUGUUUGUGUGGUUUUUGUUCGCAUUGUUAUCUGAGAGUCAGUGAACCUUGAUAAUCUACAAAACAUUACCAGUUCUACCUCCUCUCCUUAUGUCCUGAAAACAAUUCAGACAGCUGAUCUAUUCCCUCUGACCACCUGAGAUUAAGAAAUUGAUCAGACCAUUUUAUCCCUGGAAAAACAAGUUGGUCUGAUCAAAAACUGAAUUUUACUAAACCAGACCCAUCAAAAUAAAACAGGCCAAGCUGGUUUUGCUAGCUCUGUCAUCGACUUUCUUCCUAUUUUGCCAGAGGGGGGAGGGGGUCUUGAACUUUGAUCCUCCAAAUAUUUAGAAUUUUAUUUGCCAAAAUCCCUGAUCCUUGGCCAUGCUGCUUGGGUUUUAGAAACCAAAGUUUAAAAUGUCCAGAGAGCUAAAUGUUGUGAACAACUGGCCUAGAAGUUGUAAAGGUAUCACCCAUAGAAAGGUUUUCCAUGAUAGUAAAUAACCUUUCUAAUUUGUGGGUUUUUUUUAAACUUUCCAAUUUAUACCAUUAAUGGCACAACAGCAUGUCUGUCAAGGGGGAACCAUGUGUGCCAUAGAGAUGUCAAGUGCUAAUCAAUAAUUUGAUGGGUUUGAUUUGAAGUUUUCACAAUGGGAAUGUUUUCAUUUGUUUCAUUCCUUUUUCCUCACUCCUAAGCUUUCUCCCUCUCUUUUCAAGGCACAGGAACAGUUCAAGACAAAAAAAACCCAACUGCAAAACAAAUCACAGAGCUGCAAAACAGAGGGCCAUUAAAUCUUUUCUAAAAUGUAUGCUGUUCUUAUUGGAAUUUGUCAUUCUAAAUCCAAAAAUAACCUCCGUUAUGUACAAGUUUUUUCACAACUUGUUAUGAUGUUGCGAGUUAUAGCAGCUUCAAAUUAGUAAUGAAAUGUGUGCAAGAACUGCAUGUGUUUCAACAUUUUUAUUGUAUUUUUAAUUCAACAACCAAAAAUACAUUAAAAUCACAACACUUGGUGAAAAAAUGUCAUUGCAGACCUGUUUACAGUACUAUAAUUAUUAAAUGUCUUCAUGGUGUGGUGGAUGGUCUUUUCACACUGCAGUUCUUUUUACAAUAAUAAUAAAAGUAAAGAAAGAGAGUAAAGAAAAAAGAAAAAAGAAAGUUUGACUAGGGUAAAAUAAGGUAGGAAGAUAAAUAAGGGGGAAAAGAAAAAAAGAACUGAAGGUGGUUGGGAGGUAAUUGGAAGAGGAGGGGUAUGGUAUGAGGGGUAUAUAUAAUUCUUUAGAAGUACUAAAUUGCACUUACGUUUAGCUGAAGGAGGAAUUAAAAUGGUGGAUUCACCCAAUGCUUAAAGUAUAUCUACACUGUAGAAUGAAUGCAGCUUGACAUCUUUUUAACUGCCAUGGCCCAAUGCUAUGAAAUCAUGGGAGUUGUAGUUUGGUGAGACAUCAGCACUCUUUGGUAGAGAAGGCUAAAAUCUUAUAAAUCUACAUCUCCAGUGAUUCCAUAGCAGCUAAAUUAUUACUAAUAUUACUAAUAAUAUUACCAUAUAAUGAUAUAGUACAAUAUAGUAAUUUAAUGCUUAUAUUGUGCUAUGCUAGUAAUAUAUUGUAUGUUCAUUUGAUUUGUAAGCCGCUCUGAGUCCCCUUUGGGGUGAGAAGAGCGGGAUAUAAAUGUAGUAAAUAAAUAAAUACAUUAGUGGUAGGUAAAGAAGUGUCAAACUGCAUCAGUUCUACAGUGCAGGUGCACUCUCAGAAGAAUGCUACAUCAGGUAUAUAAUAUUCCAUCACAGAACCCCGUAGUAACAGUCUUAUAGGUUAAGUAAAUUUCCUACAAGUAUCUUGUCUGCCAUCUGCAAAACAAAUGGAAACGAUCUUGAGCAUCAGUUAUUUCCUUCUUUUUUGCUGGGCUGCUGUGCCUUUAUCAGAUUUGGAGUAGGUAAAAAUACAGUAGGUGAAACAAUUCCUAACUAUCUUUAUGUGAGCAAGGUUCUAUUUGUGGAAUCGAGUCCCAUUUAUAAGACCUCUUGAAACAAACUCGCUGUAAAUCAGAGAUACCAAAGUGGAGUAUUUAUUUCAUGUUUGUAAACAUUCUCAUUUUCUCCAGCUGUCGCUAUUUUGCAGAGACAGUUCUGAUUAAUCCUCUCUUAUCCUUUUUCAGAUGCUUUUAAAUGUCGCAGUUUUUCUUUCCUCUUUCCACUUGUCCCCUUUGUCCUUAGCUUACUUCAGUUGCUGCAAAGUGAAUUCAAAGUGCAAAAGUAUUAUGCACUCAGUUAACUUAGUGAGAGGAGAAGACAGGUGGAGAAGAACCUUUUCUUUCCCUGUGUGUCUGCUUCAAAGUCCCCUGUCAACUUAGGGUUUUCUUAGACUAGAAAUACUCGGAUAUGGUUUUCCAUUGCCUUCAUCUAAAAUAUAGCCUACAGCAUCUAGUAUUCCUUGAUAUUCUCCCAUCCAAGCCUGACCCUGCUUAGUUCUCAGAAUCAGUUGGGAUGUUCAGGGUUUUUAGACUUCCUUUCCCUGUAUACCCAUCACAAUCAAAACUGAUUCAGCACCUUCUGACUUGCAUGUCUUUUCCUAUUAAUAACUUUUGCUCUCUUGACCAGAUUCUGAUGUUGCUUGGCCACACAUUUCCUGGUUUUUAUCUGUGAUAUGUUGGUUCCUUCUGACUUCAGUCCUGAUUUGCUUCCCACUGAAUGUUCUGUGCAAAGGCUCUUGUACAGUUGGGUCUAAAGUGGACUCCAUCCAAGCCUUUUGUUCCUUAGUGAAAGAGCAAGUAGCUCUUGGCAGUUUUGCUUAAUAGGUAAAUGUUUCUCUCAUUCCAGGGAACAUACAAUUAAAUAAACUCUAGGCUACUUCUUAUUUAAAGUCAUUCAUGUUGCUUGAGAAGAGUUGUUUUUAUUUACAGGGAACUUUUUUUUUUCUCUUUUAGGACCUUUUCUUCUCCUUGUUUAGGUCCUACUUGAACACUGCCUACUCAAUUCUCUGGCAAAGCCCAUGCUGGGAUUGAUUUUUCCUCCCACUCUUAUGCAAGUCAAAGAGAUUCCUGGUGGCUCUAAUUGAAUUAAACCAGUGUAAACCUGGAGUGAGAAGAAUAACAGGGAGCUUUGCUUUAGCGACAAGCAACGUUUCAUUGUUGCUUCUUAAAACUGAAAAAUAAAUUACAGGCUGCAGGUUAUAGGAAUUGUGAGCUUGUACAUUCUGUUCAUGCCCUUGAAGAAGUCCUGUUCUUAAGGAAAGCAGAACAUUCCAGUCUUGAGAGAUUAGCACAUAAAGUCAGCCCUCCACAUUUACAGGUUUGAAUUUUUUGGGUUUGAUGAUUCACAGAUUUGAUUAUUAUGUUCUCUCUGGGAAUCUCUAGAUCCUCCAGUGUGACUCCUCUGGAAGUUAACUGCAGAAAAAUGCUUGGAAGACUUAGAGAUUUCUAGAGAGAAACCUCCAGUUCAAUUCUAUGAUCUGUUUCCGACAGAAGUUGACCACAGAGUUGUGCUAAAAGACAUAGAAAUGCCUAGAAAGGUGUUUUCUCAGGUAAAAAACACUAGUAAUUUUUCCUUUACAAUUCAGUUUUAAUUUUUAUUUUCAGUGAGGGCCCUGUGCUCCUCACUCCAACAAAUGUAGAGCACUGGCUAUAUUUGGGACUGGUUCUCUAUUGUAUCUUUGCUGUGUCAUUUAUACAUGUCUAGUCUGCAAAUGCAUGAAGAGCGUGGGAAAGAAAAAGACAUUUAGAGGGAAUAUAUGGAAAUGAAACAAUGAAGACACACCAUUCAGGCAAUUUACAUGUUCAAUAAAAUAUCAGCAAACUGGUACCUAUACUCACAGUUCUGUGACACAGGUGCUCCAUGAGUAGUGGUUCUGAAUAUGGACACUAACAUGGGACAGUUGUAGGCAUGCUUCUGAGGUGUCAUGCUAAAGCCAUAGACCUUUCAUACCACACAAGAUUCCAUGACAACAUCCUAUGAAGAUUGUAGUUUGGUGAAGCAUCAGAGCUCUCUUGCUGAGAAUCCUAAAUGCUCCUUUGUAAACUAAAAAUCCCAGGAUUCCAUUGGAUGGAACUAUGGCAAUUAAAGUGGGGUCUUGAUUUUUAUAAUUGUGUUGUAUGAAAGGCCCCCAGAAUUGGGGACUUUUUGGCCUUUCAGUUGUAUUGUCCUGCAAGUCCCAUUUCACAACUCAGAAUGGCCAAUGAUAAGGGACUGUAGAAACUUCAAUGCAAAACAUUUAGAGGGCCCAAGCACUCCUUGUUUUGACAUAGACUACACACUAUACAUGGAAUAAGGCUACCCUGUGAAGGUGACUUAAGGUUGGAGAUGUUGGAUUUCUGAGGUUUUUCUUUCCACAGAUCAGAAAUAUGAGAGGGAUUCACCCAGUUCUUGACCUUGUUCACAAUUUUUUCAAGUUGCUGCUGUGCUUUGGAAACAAACCAACUUAGAACACCGUUUUACAUUAAAGCAAUGCAAAGCUAUAUGUAUAUUAGACAUCAUCAUUCCUAUGUUUCACUACCUUGCACAUUUUAAAUAUCAGUUUUUCAUUAAAUGCUCAGGAUUGACAAGACUGUAUGGAUAACAGCACAGAAUGUCAAGACCAAGUCUAUAUGGACAGUGAUAGUGUAAUUCAUAUAAUGUGCGAUCCCUCAAGAAUCACUAUUGGAACAACUACUUUAAAAGUAUUUACAAAUUAUGAAGUAUUUUAAGGCUGAUACUUUAUUAAAUGUUAUACAAUAUAUAAUGAUCAACAGAAAAAGCACUGCAAAGAAUUCAGGACUUGUACUGGAAAAGUCAGCCCAUUUUCCCUUUUUAAUACUCCAUAUUGUAUGUCUUUCCAUUGGGUGUCAAGUUUUGCAAUGCAUGUUUAUUUUCCAGUUUAUUAACAAAUAGAAUAAAGUUGUAUCAUGGCUUAGUAAUA